rnacentral:rRNA from 1 species
AUUGAACGCUGGCGGCAUGCCUUACACAUGCAAGUCGAACGGCAGCACGGGAGCUUGCUCCUGGUGGCGAGUGGCGAACGGGUGAGUAAUGCAUCGGAACGUGCCCUGAAGUGGGGGAUAACGUAGCGAAAGUUACGCUAAUACCGCAUAUUCUGUGAGCAGGAAAGCAGGGGAUCUUCGGACCUUGCGCUUUUUGGAGCGGCCGAUGUCGGAUUAGCUAGUUGGUGGGUAAAGGCCCACCAAGGCGACGAUCCGUAGCGGGUCUGAGAGGAUGAUCCGCCACACUGGAACUGAGACACGGUCCAGACUCCUACGGGAGGCAGCAGUGGGGAAUUUUGGACAAUGGGCGCAAGCCUGAUCCAGCCAUGCCGCGUGAGUGAAGAAGGCCU